rnacentral:lncRNA from 1 species
ACUUCCAAGUGUACCUGCUCCCGCUCAGAAAUAAACAGAUUCUCAAACAGCUUCUCCAUCGCACUGACCCAGCCCUCAACAACCCAGGCCUCUGUACAGCUGCCAUCAUAGGUUGGUGGAUCAAAACGGCGAAAAUGAGCUAGCCUCUCGGUCAUCCGCUCCUGCUCAGCCUCAGUCAUCUGUACCGACUCUCUAGAAGGUGCAACUAGUGCUAUAGGAACUGUCACUGGUGG